rnacentral:rRNA from 1 species
AAUACAGAGGUGGCAAGCGUUGUUCGGAAUUACUGGGCGUAAAGGGCGCGUAGGCGGCCGCCUAAGUCAGACGUGAAAUCCCCAAGCUUAACUUGGGAACUGCGUCUGAUAUUGGGUGGCUGGAGUUCGGGAGAGGAAUGUGGAAUUCCAGGUGUAGCGGUGAAAUGCGUAGAUAUCUGGAGGAACACCGGUGGCGAAGGCGGCAUUCUGGACCGAAACUGACGCUGAGGCGCGAAAGCCAGGGGAGCAAACGG